GACCUGUACUGCUGGAUCAACUCGGCGUUACAUUAACGCACGAGCAUCUUUUUGGCGAUUUUUUCAACUGUUUUAAGCGAGCUCCGUAUUCGCAUGAGCUUUCGAGAGAUCAUACAAAAAUUACAUUGAAAGGUAGCGGCUAUCUUAAUCUAUAUCCGUAUAGCAAUAUGAACAAUUUGAAAUUUUUUGGUAAGGAAGAUAUAAUUAGUCAAAGUGAAAUAUUGCAGUUCAGACAACAUAAUAAGAAAACAAUUGUGGAAAAUAGCAAUCAUGGUUUGAGAUGUUCUAACAUAUGGGACAAAUAGAAAAAUGUGUCCUUAAGACAGAAUAUUAACAUAAUUAUUGGAACAGGAUAUUAUGUUGCUCAGACGCAAGUUGCAUCAACCCUAAAUAUGUCAAAAGAAAGUAUAUAUAAUGUUAUGUGUACGGAAUUAAAAAAAGGUAUUGUAUAUCGUGAACAUUAUCAAACAUCCACAAUAAAAACAGGAUUUAUCGGCAAAGUGGGCAGUUUUUGGCCAA